UGGAAAAGGGGGUGCAUCUAGUGGAAGUUACCCACCCUGGAUAAGGGAGUUCAGAGAUGAACAACUGAAGGAAACAGGUUCCAGAAGGUUUGCAUACCCCAAAGGGCAACCCCUUAGCCAUGAAGCAGCAAUCCCUCCACUGGCCCUUCCCUCCAGUCCCUGGAAACCACGACUCUGCUUCUGUCUCUCCAUCUGCCUGCCGGGUAUUUCACACAGAUGGAAUCACACGUUCGGAGGACAGACGACAUGUUUGAGAAGCUGGAUUAAAACAUCAGAGAGGAUCUACCAGGAUCACAGAAGGGUCACUUUCCAGGUGGUGAUAACAGAUUUCAUCCAUGACCUGGAAAUCAUUUUAGAUCAAGAACAUCAGCCCAGCUUUGUGUUCAGGAUCACAAGUUUGAUUCCUGGUCCAGGAACAUCCCACGUGCCCUGGAGCAACUAAGCUCGUGUGCCAUACCUACUGAGCGUGUGCUCUAGAGCCGGUGAGCAACACAAGAAACCACGGCCUCUGGAAGGCCACACACAACAAAGAGUUAGCUCUUUGUUGCUGCUCUCUGCGACUAGAGAAAGCCCAGGCACAGCAGUGAGGACCCAGCAUGGCCAAAAAUAAAUAUGAAGAAAUAAACAAAGCCAUGUUGCACAUGCAACUAAUCCAUUGAGUCCUGUGUCUUUUGGGUGCACGUAACAGAAGAAACGAUCAAUGCUUAAAAAAAAAUUAGCUAAGGAACAUGUAACUGGGUUGAAUAGAGUCUCCAAAAACUCAU